UAAUAAAAAUGAAAAAUGAAAAAAAAAAUAUUUGGGGUGUUUGGGCUUCCUGAAGGUAAUACCCGGGUAUUAAGAGUUGGGGCUAGGGUAAGGUUUAAGGUUUUGGCGUUAGGGUUUAAAUCACUGUCCAAAACCUUUGUAGGAACUGUUUUCCAACCUUUUGGAGUUAGUUAGACCAAAUAAAAAUUAAAAAUGAAAAAAUACAUAUUUGGGGUGUUUGGGCUUCCUGAAGGUAAUACCCGGGUAUUAAGAGUUGGGGCUAGGGUAAGGUUUAAGGUUUUGGCGUUAGGGUUUAAAUCACUGUCCAAAACCUUUGUAGGAACUGUUUUCCAACCUUUUGGAGUUAGUUAGACCAAAUAAAAAUGAAAAAUGAAAAAAAAAUAUUUGGGGUUUUCGGGCUUCCUGAAGGUAAUACCCGGGUAUUAAGAUUUGGGGCUAGGGUAAGGUUUAAGGUUUUGGCGUUAGGGUUUAAAUCACUGUCCAAAACGUUUGUAGGAACUCUUUUCCAACCUUUUGGAGUUAGUUAGACCAAAAAGAAAUGAAAAAUGAAAAAAAAUAUUUGUGGUGUUCGGGCUUCCUGAAUAUAAUACAUGGGUAUUAGGUUUUGGGGCUAGGGAAAGGUUUAAGGUUUUUGGCGUUAGGGUUAAAAUCACUGUCCAAAACCUUUGUAGGAACUCUUUUCCAACCAUUUGGAGUUAGUUAGACCAAAUAAAAAUGAAAAAUGAAAAAAAAAUAUUUGGGGUGUUUGGGCUUCCUGAAGGUAAUACCCGGGUAUUAAGAUUUGGGGCUAGGGUAAGGUUUAAGGUUUUUGGCGUUAGGGUUAAAAUCACUGUCCAAAACCUUUGUAGGAACUAUUUUCCAAGCUUUGGGAGUUAGUUAGACCAAAAAGAAAUGAAAAAUGAAAAAAAAAUAUUUGGGGUUUUCGGGAUUCCUGAAGGUAAUACCCGGGUAUUAGGUUUUGGGGCUAGGGGAAGGUUUAAGGUUUUUGGCGUUAGGGUUAAAAUGACUGUCCAAAACCUAUUUAGGAACAUGUUUCAGACCUUUUGGAGUUGGUUACACCAAAUAAAAAUAAAAAAUAAAAAAAAUAUAUUUGGGGUGUUCGGGCUUCCUGAAGGUAAUACCCGGGUAUAAGUUUUGGGGCUAUGGUAAGGUUUAAGGUUUUUGGCGUUAGGGUUAAAAUCACUGUCCAAAACCUUUGUAGGAACUCUUUUCCAACCUUUUGGAGUUAGUUAGACCAAAUAAAAAUGAAAAAUGAAAAAAAAUAUAUUUGGGGUGUUUGGGCUUCCUGAAGGUAAUACCCGGGUAUUAAAAGUUGGGGCUAGGGUAAGGUUUAAGGUUUUGGCGUUAGGGUUUAAAUCACUGUCCAAAACCUUUGUAGGAACUGUUUUCCAACCUUUUGGAGUUAGUUAGACCAAAUAAAAAUUAAAAAUGAAAAAAUAUAUAUUUGGGGUGUUUGGGCUUCCUGAAGGUAAUACCCGGGUAUUAAGAGUUUGGGCUAGGUUAAGGUUUAAGGUUUUGGCGUUAGGGUUUAAAUCACUGUCCAAAACCUUUGUAGGAACUGUUUUCCAACCUUUUGGAGUUAGUUAGACCAAAUAAAAAUGAAAAAUGAAAAAAAAAUAUUUGGGGUGUUUUGGCUUCCUGAAGAUAAUACAUGGGUAUUAGGUUUUGGGGCUAGGGAAAGGUUUAAGGUUUUUGGCGUUAGGGUUAAAAUCACUGUCCAAAACCUUUGUAGGAACUCUUUUCCAACCAUUUGGAGUUAGUUAGACCAAAUAAAAAUGAAAAAUGAAAAAAAAAUAUUUGGCUUGUUUUGGCUUCCUGAAGAUAAUGCACGGGUAUUAGGUUUUGGGGCUAGGGUAAGGUUUAAGGUUUUUGGCGUUAGGGUUAAAAUCACUGUCCAAAACCUUUGUAGGAACUAUUUUCCAAGCUUUGGGAGUUAGUUAGACCAAAAAGAAAUGAAAAAUGAAAAAAAAAUAUUUGGGGUUUUCGGGAUUCCUGAAGGUAAUACCCGGGUAUUAGGUUUUGGGGCUAGGGGAAGGUUUAAGGUUUUUGGCGUUAGGGUUAAAAUCACUGUCCAAAACCUAUUUAGGAACAUGUUUCAGACCUUUUGGAGUUGGUUACACCAAAUAAAAAUAAAAAAUAAAAAAAAAAUAUUUGGGGUGUUUGGGCUUCCUGAAGGUAAUACCCGGGUAUUAGUUUUGGGGCUAUGGUAAGGUUUAAGGUUUUUGGCGUUAGGGUUAAAAUCACUGUCCAAAACCUUUGUAGGAACUCUUUUCCAACCUUUUGGAGUUAGUUAGACCAAAUAAAAAUGAAAAAUGAAAAAAAAUAUAUUUGGGGUGUUUGGGCUUCCUGAAGGUAAUACCCGGGUAUUAAGAGUUGGGGCUAGGGUAAAGUUUAAGGUUUUGGCGUUAGGGUUUAAAUCACUGUCCAAAACCUUUGUAGGAACUGUUUUCCAACCUUUGGGAGUUAGUUAGACCAAAUAAAAAUGAAAAAUGAAAAAAAAAUAUUUGGGGUGUUUGGGCUUCCUGAAGGUAAUACCCGGGUAUUAAGAUUUGGGGCUAGGGUAAGGUUAAAGGUUUUGGCGUUAGGGUUUAAAUCACUGUCCAAAACAUUUGUAGGAACUCUUUUCCAACCUUUUGGAGUUAGUUAGACCAAAAAAUAAUGAAAAAUGAAAAAAAAAUAUUUGGGGUUUUCGGGAUUCCUGAAGGUAAUACCCGGGUAUUAGGUUUUGGGGCUAGGGGAAGGUUUAAGGUUUUUGGCGUUAGGGUUAAAAUGACUGUCCAAAACCUAUUUAGGAACAUGUUUCAGACCUUUUGGAGUUGGUUACACCAAAUAAAAAUAAAAAAUAAAAAAAAAAUAUUUGGGGUGUUCGGGCUUCCUGAAGGUAAUACCCGGGUAUAAGUUUUGGGGCUAUGGUAAGGUUUAAGGUUUUUGGCGUUAGGGUUAAAAUCACUGUCCAAAACCUUUGUAGGAACUCUUUUCCAACCUUUUGGAGUUAGUUAGACCAAAUAAAAAUGAAAAAUGAAAAAAAAAUAUUUGGGGUGUUUGGGCUUCCUGAAGGUAAUACCCGGGUAUUAAGAGUUGGGGCUAGGGUAAGGUUUAAGGUUUUGGCGUUAGGGUUUAAAUCACUGUCCAAAACCUUUGUAGGAACUGUUUUCCAAGCUUUUGGAGUUAGUUAGACCAAAUAAAAAUGAAAAAUGAAAAAAAAUAUAUUUGGGGUGUUUUGGCUUCCUGAAGGUAAUACCCGGGUAUUAAAAGUUGGGGCUAGGGUAAGGUUUAAGGUUUUGGCGUUAGGGUUUAAAUCACUGUCCAAAACAUUUGUAGGAACUCUUUUCCAACCUUUUGGAGUUAGUUAGACCAAAAAAUAAUGAAAA
rnacentral:lncRNA from 1 species